GGGAUUUGUCCACUAAGUGGGUAUCUCUUCCGGUGAAGCCAACUGAUGCAGCAGGAAUGGUUUACGGAAAGGGAACUGUAGUCAGCAAAUAAUCAGUCUCUUGAAAUAAGUGCAAGGGAAAAGGAAAACCUUCCAUCAGUUUCAUGUUUGUAAAAGUUAUCAGAAAUCCUGCUUUGAUUGUAAAGGGUUUAUAGCUAUAUGUUUGAAUAGCUAAAACAUCUGUGCAGCAAUAUUGUGAAAUCCUGAACUCUUGAUAAAGGGGACUGCUAAGUGAUUGGUUCAUAGAGACUUUACGGGCAGCAAGAGCUGUAAAUAGUGGUCAUUGCUUUCCUUUCCUAGUCUUGGUCAGAGGAUAAGUUAAAACACAGCUAGUAUUUAAUGUAUGAGUGUAUGAUUUUCCUUUGAGAGCGAGAAAGCAGGAGAGCAGGAAAUGUCUAGGAAAUGGUUCGUGACAGAAACCUGAAGUUGUAAAUAAAAGAGAGAAGGAAGAGAGCUUGUGGAUGCAGUUUGUGAAUAGUUGAAAUACUGAUACAACAGCAGCAAAGGGAAACCAGACUUCUUCAAGGCUGAGCACUUCCUAACCCAUCCCGAUGGAAGGAGAGACAGUAUCGGAUCCCAGGAGAAGAGCCAACAAAGCCACCCGGAUUGCCCUCGGUGUGUUUGUGAGCGGCACUGUUGUGCUUGGCACCGUGCUUUUCUUGGUUAGCCAAGGCCUUAUAAAGUUUCAUCAGAAGCAACAGUACUGUUUGACUUCAGAAUGCAUUGAAGCUGCUGCUGCCAUCUUAAGCAAAAUAAAUCAAUCUGUGGAUCCUUGUGAGAACUUUUAUCGAUUUGCAUGUGAUGGUUGGAUAUAUAAUCACCCUAUUCCAGAAGACAUGUCAAACUAUGGCGUUUAUCCUUGGCUGCGGCACAAUGUGGACCUUAAACUAAAGGCAUUGCUUGAGAAACCUAUCAGCAGAAGACGGGACAGUGAAGCUGUACAAAAGGCCAAGAUCCUUUACGCCUCCUGUAUGAAUGAGCAUAAAAUUGAAAAAGCCGAUGUGAAACCACUGUUAAGUAUACUGAAGCAUUCACCUUUCCGCUGGCCUGUGCUGGAAUCAAACAUUGGACCUGAAGGACUGUGGUCAGAAAGGAAAUUUAGCUUAGUCCAAACCCUGGCAACUCUUCGUGGUCAAUACAGUAACUCUGUCUUCAUCCAUUUAUAUGUGGCUGCUGAUGACAAGAUGUCCAGUCAAUAUAUCCUGAAGCUAGAUCAAGCAAGCCUAUCUCUUGCAUCUCGAGAGGAUUAUCUAGAAAACACCACAGAAGCUAAAUCUUACCGAGAUGCCUUUUUGCAGUUCAUGGUUGAUACAGCAGUGCUUCUGGGUGCAAAUGCUUCACGAGCUGAGUCUGAUAUGAAGUCAGUUCUAAGAUUGGAAAUUAAAAUAGCUGAGAUCAUGAUUCCAUAUGAGAAUCGAACCAGUGAGGUGAUGUACAAUAAAAUGAAUAUAUCAGAGCUUAGUGCCAUGAUUCCACAGUUUGACUGGCUGGGAUACAUCAAGAAGGUGAUUGACACUAGGCUCUACCCUGAGCUUAAAGAUAUAGGUCCUUCAGAAAACGUGAUUGUCCGUGUUCCGCAGUACUUCAAAGAUUUAUUCAGGAUACUAGAAAAUGAAAGGAAAAAGACUGUUGCCAAUUAUCUGGUGUGGAGGAUGGUUUAUUCAAGGUUAUUUAACCUCAGCAGACGCUUUCAGUAUCGGUGGCUGGAAUUUUCUCGGGUAAUCCAUGGAACCACAACUUUACUGCCUCAGUGGGAUAAAUGUGUGGACCUUGUUGAAAGUGCACUCCCUUAUGUUGUGGGCAAGAUGUUUGUGAAUGCCCAUUUUCAAGAAGACAAGAAAGAAAUGAUGGAGGAGUUAACUGAAGGAAUUCGCUGGGCUUUUAUUGACAUGUUGGAAAAGGAAAACGACUGGAUGGACUCUGAAACAAAAAGGAAAGCAUAUGAAAAGGCGAAAGCAGUUAUGGCAAAAGUGGGUUACCCUCAGUUCAUAAUAAAUGACACAUACGUUAAUGAAGACAUCAAAACAAUGAAGUUUACAGAAAGUGACUAUUUUGGCAAUGUAUUACAAACCCGCAAAUACACAGCCCAGUCUGAUUUCUACUGGCUUAGAAAAGAAGUUCCAAAGACAGAGUGGUUUACCAGCCCAACUACUGUCAAUGCUUUCUAUAGUGCAUCUACCAAUCAGAUCCGAUUCCCAGCAGGAGAACUGCAAAAGCCUUUCUUUUGGGGAACAGAGUAUCCUCGGUCUUUAAGCUAUGGUGCCAUAGGAGUAAUUGUUGGCCAUGAAUUUACUCAUGGAUUUGAUAGCAAUGGUAGGAAAUAUGACAAAAAUGGAAAUUUAGACCCUUGGUGGACGACUGACUCUGAAGAAAAAUUUAAGGAGAAGACAAAAUGCAUGAUUAACCAAUACAGCAAUUACUACUGGAAGAGAGCUGGCUUACAUGUAAAAGGCAAGAGGACUUUGGCAGAAAACAUUGCAGAUAACGGAGGUUUGCGAGAGGCUUUCAGGGCAUACAGGAGAUGGAUUGUAGAAAAGAGAGGAGGAGAAGAAGAGCCUUUACUGCCAGGCCUUGAGUUCACACACAACCAGCUUUUCUUUCUGAGUUAUGCCCAUGUAAGAUGCAACUCCUUUAGACCAGAAUCUGCAAGAGAGCAAAUACAUAUUGGAGCUCACAGCCCUCCUCAGUUCAGAAAGUCUAAUCAAUGUAAUAAGAAUGUUUUCUACCAUGCUGAGCUACGCUGAGAAGCUGAUUGUCUGCAAUGGAGAAAAAUGCCUUCCCUUGGAAAGGCAUACAAUUAAUAUCUCAGUAGAUGCUUUUCUGCUUUUAACCCAGGAUGCUGUUUGCUCUAAUACCAUUUCAAAUUUCAGAGUUAUUGGUGCCAUAAGCAAUUUUGAAGAGUUCCGUAAAGCUUUCAAUUGCCCAGUAAAUACAACUAUGAAUCGAGGUGCAGAAUCUUGCCGGCUGUGGUAGAUGUUUCUUCAGAUCUUGUGUCAAGAGGAGUCUAGAACAGAAACUGCUGUAUCUGAACUCAAGCCCACUGCUAGAGAUUCAGAAUAAUGUUCUGCAACGUGGAGAGGUUUUAUUUCAAAUACAUCUUCCUUAUCCAGGUUGAUGACUUGCAUGGAUCUAAUCACUCUCUAUUCAGAGCCUAGAAACCUUUAAAAUAGGAGAAGAUGAUUUUUUGUUUGUUUGUUUUUAGAAAAAAAGGGAGGGGAUUUCUCUUAUCCAUGAAAUUCCUUCUAUUCAUCUGCAGUUUCUUUGCUGUUGAUGGAUAACUGCCAUUAUCAGUUAUAAUUCCUGAUUUGUAGUUUAGCAAGAGGUAAAUGUUAAAUCCAGUUUUAAUCUAUUGCUCUGCAGGGGUGCUAUGCAGAAUGUUCCCAUACAAAAUUUAUUCCUUCUGGAUAAAGAAAUUCAUGAGACCAGUUACAAAGCCAGCUCUGAUCUUCUGUGCACUACAGCAUUUCCAUAACUUACCCUGUCACUGCCCAGCAUGCCAUAAAUGAUGUAGCAUGAUGUAAAGACACAAGAUUUUAUAUAAAUUCAGUUUAAUAUGUCUGCUUAGUGCCUCAGGAAUUGGAACAGUUUCAAGCUGAGAAAGCACCUCAUGGUUUCCAUCUGCAAGAACUAAACAAAAAGGAUACUUGUCAGAUCCUGGUCUUUUCUAAUUUUAGAACAACUUAUGGUAAAAAUCAAUAUAUGGUGAAAAUUAGAAUCUUGCAGAUGAAUUUCCCAGCACUGUGAUACCCAGAAACAUUAGAAUACUUAUUCCUGUUCACAGCAUGGGUAUUUCUUUCCCAUGGGGUGAAUUUAAUCCUGUGCUGAAGGUAAGCAUCAUGUAAAUUUACUUUUAAGCCUGAAAUACUACACCAGCUUUAAUUUUGGGAUAUUUUAGUGUCUGGAACUUAAAGAGGAAUGUAAAUAGUAUACAUGCUUAUCCUCAAAUUCUGCACAGGACAGGGUCACAUGUGCUUUUAAGGAAAGAAGAAUACGUGACUGAAGAAGAGAGUACCAGCAGCAUUUUACUUGUUUGAGUCCAAAGACCUGUUCAGAAGCAGAGGACUUUUAAAUGCAGCAUCUACAUAGGCCAUUUUUUUAAUCUGAUUUCUAACAGCAUUCACAAAAACCAUACUUUAAUGCAGCAGAAAACCUUUAACACUAUUAGUAAGCUUAUUACUAAGGGAAAGAAAACAAAACAAAAUAGCCCUCUCUUCCCCAAAAGAAAGAUACACAUUUAACUGGUAUUUGUUUUUACCUUGUGCCUUAAUUCAUUUUUACAUGGUGGAAUCAUUUCAAAUGGAGAAAGAGGGUUUCUUUAGAUUGAUUUAUUUGCUGCGAAAACUAUAUGUGUGUGUGUAUAUAUAUAUAUGCUUUUAUAUAUAUAUAUAUAUAUAUAUAUAUAUCUAAAUUCUCCUAUUAAACUGUCUAAUUUUUAUUUUAUCAGUAUAGAAAUGUUAGUAAGAUAAACUUUUUUACAAGGAUUUGUCAAAUAUUCUCUAACAAUCAAAGUGGAUAAGUGCUCGACUGAAGCUAAGCUUUUGCAAAUGGGGUUAGUUAAAGUAUCUUUAUAAAGAAAGGGGAACAUCAUGGAAAUAUAAUUUAAGGAGUUAGGCCCUCAAACUGCUUUCCAAGGAGAAAGGAGCUGAGACUCCUGAAUUCAAACUGUUGUCACUUUUUAGAAUCAGAGUAUUAUGCUGUGGGGCCAAGAUUUUUCUUUCAUAUUUUCCCUGAAAAAGUCAAAAUUUUCGUAAGAGCAAAGCACUUUUGCUCCCUGUGGGACAGCUGUAUUUCUGAGUUCCAUGGUUUAUAGUUUGUCACUCAAAUUGAUGCUGCUAAAUUUUUUCCUGGAGAUAUUUUUCAAAUAAGCUACUUGGUGGAAUUUUUGUAGGCCAUUCCCUCAUACAAGCAGUCAUGGCUCUUGAGCAAAGUGAUCCUGUUUGCCUGCUAAAAGGAAAGUUCCUUAGCAAAUUGAGUACCACACUGACUUCAUUCCUGCUCUCAUUUGAGCCUGAUAUGACUUAGUGUUGGCUGCUUUGCAUAAGUAGCACAAAGUUCAGGGAUAAAAUCCUGGCCCCAUUAAAGGCAGUGUGAAUACAGCCAAUGUCCUCAAAAACACCAAGACAUCUACGCAAAUACUUAUCUAAACUUUCUAAAUUGCUAAAGUACACAAAACCGAUUUCACAACAGUUGACUUUGAGUUUUCUAAUUUUAUCUCUUGGGUCAGAGAUACAUUUGAAGGAGCUUCUCUCUCAUGACUUUUCCAAUGGGACAGAUUCUGUCAUCUUGUGGUUUAUGGGGCCAUUACUCUGUACUGGAUACUGGUUUCUUCUAAAAUGACUUAUGUUCACUGCCUUAAAUGUCACACCAGUGUCCUGGGCUGGGGGUUGCGGGGGGCCAGGGGAAGAGAGAAUGGACAGAUUUUGGAUCCUGGUUUGAGGAGCUAAGAGGAAGCAUACAUGCUGCCAGGAAAACCAGAAGCCCUUGCCGCUGAUGCACACAUUCAGCGGUAGUAUCAGAGUUUCACAAGUCCUUGCUUAUUGACUUAGGUUUUCAGUGUCCCGGGCUUAGGUCUUACAUAUGGCAGUAUGCAGAGUUGUAUUCCAGUGCGAGGAACUACAGUUUCUUCACCUGCCUGUUUUUUACUUCAAACCAAACAGUUGAUAAUGCAAAUUACAGUUCACUUUGGAGUCAGUUAUUUAGAUUCCCAUUGGAAAGUGAAGCAAAAGGUAAUUAAACACAUUCUUAAAGCAGGUUCACCGAAGGUAGCUAAAACAUAGCAACGCUUUGUGAGGUCUCUUCCCAUUAUCUCUAUUUCAACAGACUCCCUGGCCCUGCUUUGUUUUCACUUUGUGCCUUCUGUGUCUAUACGAGCAAUGCCUUACUGAAAUGCGAUCAAACUCACUCAUUUUAUCUAUCCCAACAGAUCCUUCAUCAUACAUAUUCUUCUCCUAGAGCUUUUCGACUGACAUUUUUUUAAUUGCCAUUAAUUAUUUCAGCAUUCUUUAAACACAUUGUGAAAUGUUUCUUCCAAUUGGUUCAGUAAUCUUAUUAUCUUCCAGUGGCUGGGAAGGGAAGGAUCAGCUUUGAACAAAACAUGUUUACCUGUAUGAAUUUGAAGAGAUUUUCUCUAUUGUGUACACAUGACUCCUACUCCUGUCCCACAUCUUCUUUGGGUCCUGAAAAUAUCCAACUCUUUUUUGGUCCAACUCUGAAAAAGGUAAAACACACCAUCUUACACACUGUGAGUAUUUCUGCUGAUUUACAUUGUGCAAGAAUAGCUCUACACAUGAGUAGCUCUCUGAAAAGGUGGUUGUGCUACUCACCUGUGUAACCUGCUUACAUGUAUAAAUGGUGUCUGAGCUGGGACUUGAUGCUGAAUGACCAAAAAACCCAGUUGUAUUAUAAAGCUCUGUCUUGCGCCUUGUGCUGGGGAACUUCAGCAUUCUUUAGAUAGAAUUUCUGUCAAGACACUCAACAUUUGAAAUAUUUAUAAAAUAAUUAGAGGAUUAUGUGUAAUUUUUCCUUGAGUAUUAUGCAACAAAUUAAAUGUAUAGAAGUAUAUUUUAUAGCAACAUGUAAUAUAUAUAUAAAUGUCUCCAAAGAAAUAUUAAAAACCUUAUGACUCAAGAGGCAGAGCCAUAAUGAGUUAAAAGGUCUUUUGUGUUUAUGUCUUUUUAAUUUGGAUUUUUAUUUCGCUACUCAGUCUAUCGUACUUCCUAACUUUUCUUCUUGCAUAAGUAGUUGAUUGACUGUUCUAAACACAAUUGUGUUAGCCAGUAAAAGCCAAAAUGAUGAAGAAUUUUCCUGUGCGUGCAUUAGAGCAAAAGCUGCUUGGCCUCUCACUGUCCAACUCUACAAUGUUAUUUCUGUAAUACAUAGUCUUUAUAAAAUGUAAUAAACAGCAUAAUGACAUGG